rnacentral:rRNA from 1 species
CCUACGGGUGGCAGCAGUGGGGAAUAUUGGACAAUGGGCGAAAGCCUGAUCCAGCCAUGCCGCGUGUGUGAAGAAGGCCUUCGGGUUGUAAAGCACUUUCAGUGGGGAAGAAAGCCUUGGGGCUAAUACCCUCGAGGAAGGACAUCACCAACAGAAGAAGCACCGGCUAACUCCGUGCCAGCAGCCGCGGUAAUACGGAGGGUGCGAGCGUUAAUCGGAAUUACUGGGCGUAAAGCGCGCGUAGGCGGUCUGAUAAGCCGGUUGUGAAAGCCCCGGGCUCAACCUGGGAACGGCAUCCGGAACUGGCAGGCUAGAGUGCAGGAGAGGAAGGUAGAAUUCGCGGUGUAGCGGUGAAAUGCGUAGAGAUCGGGAGGAAUACCAGUGGCGAAGGCGGCCUUCUGGACUGACACUGACGCUGAGGUGCGAAAGCGUGGGUAGCAAACAGGAUUAGAUACCCGAGUAGUC